GAAAAAUACUCUAAAUCUCAUCAAGCAACUUCUCCAUGUCCAAGAGAAAGAUCCUCCCACCUGCAGCUGGAAAAGAAGUGAGGGAAGGGAAUAGAUCCUCAGCUUCCAUUAGUCCAUUAUUGCAGAGGAAUUGUGCUCCAAAGUGAAGGAAACUGAAAGCUGAAGUCCAUCAGGUUCAUCCAUCUCUCAGCUUCAUUUUCGGAGGAAGAGGUUUCUGUGAUCUCAUCUCCUUGUGUUCAUCUGUGUACCUAACCUAAAAAAAAUCUCAACUCAGAGGCCACUUUCUACCAAACUUAACAAAGAGAUGAAGAACUGUCUGGAUACCUGCUGGGUUAACACAAUGCUUAUUCUUCAAAAACCACUGGCCUAUGGAGCCACACAAUGCUUAUUCUGUGGGAUCAUGUUAAACAUUAACCAAGAAGAAGAAUGGAAAGUAACCAGCUCAGUUAUGCCAAAUUUUCACCAGUUCACCAAGCAGCCAAGUAUGACUUUGGGGUCACCAACCACCAGGGACCACAAAAGAGACCCCCAGGACAGAAGAAUGCAUGCACAAAGGGGAGGGAAUAAAUGUUGAAAAUUUUGGGGAAAUGAUCAUCAAAUGUAUGUUUAUUCCAGGAAAAUCAAUGAAUACAUAUGUAAAAUGCAGUAUAAAAAAAAAAAAAAAGCUUUUCCUGUACUCAGUAUGCAUGCUAUUUUGGAGAACGUAUCCCUUCGUGCAUCCAG